rnacentral:rRNA from 1 species
AGCGAACGCUGGCGGCGUGCUUAACACAUGCAAGUCGAACGGCAAGGCCCUGCUUGUGUGGGGUGCUCGAGUGGCGAACGGGUGAGUAACACGUGAGUAACCUACCCUUGACUUUGGGAUAACUUCAGGAAACUGGAGCUAAUACCAGAUAGCAGCUCCUGCUGCGUGGUGGGGGUUGGAAAGUUUCGGCGGUUGGGGAUGGACUCGCGGCUAAUGAGCUUGUUAGUGGGCUAGUGGCUUACCAAGGCUUGGAAGGGUCGCCGGCAUGAGAGGGUGACCGGCCACAUUGCGACUGAGAUACGGCGCAGACUCCUACGGGAGGCAGCAGUGGGGAAUAUUGCACAAUGGGCGGAAGCCUGAUGCAGCAACGCCGCGUGCGUGAUGACGGUCUUCUGGGUGUAAACCGCAUUAGCCUGUGACGAAGCGUGAGUGACGGUAAUGGGUAAAGAAGCACCGGCUAACUACGUG